rnacentral:tRNA from 1 species
GAGGGUAUAGCUCAAUUGGUAGAGUGCAUGCUUAGCAUGCAUGAAGUCUUGGGUUCAAUCCCCAGUACUUCCU